UGUAUAGAUUCAUUUAUCAAU
rnacentral:piRNA from 1 species